rnacentral:rRNA from 1 species
CGGGGGGAGCAAGCGUUGUUCGGAUUUACUGGGCGUAAAGGGCGCGUAGGCGGCCAGCACAAGUCAGUUGUGAAAUCUCCGGGCUUAACUCGGAAAGGUCAACUGAUACUGUGCGGCUAGAGUGCAGAAGGGGCAACUGGAAUUCUCGGUGUAGCGGUGAAAUGCGUAGAUAUCGAGAGGAACACCUGCGGCGAAGGCGGGUUGCUGGGCUGACACUGACGCCGAUGCGCGAAAGCCAGGGGAGCGAACGGGAUUAGAUACCCCGGUAGUCCUGGCCUUAAACGAUGGAUGCUUGGUGUCUGGAGUUUUAUAGUCUCCGGGUGCCGUAGCUAACGCGUUAAGCAUCCCGCCUGGGGAGUACGGUCGCAAGACUG